AUGGACGCAAGCCUGUGGCCAAUGAGGAGGAGAAGAUACCGCAGCGAGCCAGAGGGGAGGGAGUGGGCGGGCCAACGCCCUCCCCUCCCUCCGGCGGCCGGGUCCUCCCUCCCGCCCUGUUCGGCAUCUUCUAGGCUGACUCCAAGCUGUCCGAGUGAGCCCCAGCAUCUGCUCUUCACGGCCCAGGGACACCCUUGAGUCUCUGCAGUCGGUGCGGGAGGGUCUGUGGCGGACGACUUGCCUGUGUGGUUUUGUUUUCCUUUGUCUACAUUUGGUUGGCAUAAACACUUCUGAAAAAUGGGCUGCAGCUGAUGCCUUUUAGUUUGGUUCCUUUAACGAGGGGUUUAUAAAACGACUCUUACCAUGCAGAACACAUGUUCUCGGUAUACAGUUACUUGAUGGAUUGAAACAGUGCUGAGGGAGGCAGAACACAUGGUUUAAAAUAUUCCUAAAAUGCAUAAUUACCCCGUGGACCAAUCGGGUACAUAAUAUACAUUUUAAUACACCAUUUAAUUGCUGUUUACCUAGGAGACAGGAACUUUUCUGGUCUCUUGGGUUAAACUACAGAUUUUUAGAAACUGUCUAAACACAUAUUUACUUGAUUCAUUCUGGUCUCUUGGGUGAAGAAUCCUUUUCCAAU
rnacentral:lncRNA from 1 species